UGGGGAAUAUUGCGCAAUGGGCGAAAGCCUGAUGCAGCAACGCCGCGUGAGUGAUGAAGGUCUUCGGAUUGUAAAGCUCUGUCUUUUGGGACGAUAAUGACGGUACCAAAGGAGGAAGCCACGGCUAACUACGUGCCAGCAGCCGCGGUAAUACGUAGGUGGCGAGCGUUGUCCGGAUUUACUGGGCGUAAAGGGUGCGUAGGCGGAUGUUUAAGUGAGAUGUGAAAUACCCGGGCUUAACUUGGGUGCUGCAUUUCAAACUGGAUAUCUAGAGUGCAGGAGAGGAGAAUGGAAUUCCUAGUGUAGCGGUGAAAUGCGUAGAGAUUAGGAAGAACACCAGUGGCGAAGGCGAUUCUCUGGACUGUAACUGACGCUGAGGCACGAAAGCGUGGGUAGCAAACAGGAUUAGAUACCCUGGUAGUCCACGCCGUAAAACGAUGAGUACUAGGUGUAGGAGGUAUCGACCCCUUCUGUGCCGCAGUAAACACAUUAAGUACUCCGCCUGGGAAGUACGAUCGCAAGAUU
rnacentral:rRNA from 1 species